GACGAACGCUGGCGGCGUGCCUAAUACAUGCAAGUAGAACGCUGAAGCUUGGUGCUUGCACCGAGCGGAUGAGUUGCGAACGGGUGAGUAACGCGUAGGUAACCUGCCUGGUAGCGGGGGAUAACUAUUGGAAACGAUAGCUAAUACCGCAUAAGAGUAGAUGUUGCAUGACAUUUGCUUAAAAGGUGCAAUUGCAUCACUACCAGAUGGACCUGCGUUGUAUUAGCUAGUCGGUGAGGUAACGGCUCACCAAGGCAACGAUACAUAGCCGACCUGAGAGGGUGAUCGGCCACACUGGGACUGAGACACGGCCCAGACUCCUACGGGAGGCAGCAGUAGGGAAUCUUCGGCAAUGGACGGAAGUCUGACCGAGCAACGCCGCGUGAGUGAAGAAGGUUUUCGGAUCGUAAAGCUCUGUUGUAAGAGAAGAACGAGUGUGAGAGUGGAAAGUUCACACUGUGACGGUAUCUUACCAGAAAGGGACGGCUAACUACGUG
rnacentral:rRNA from 1 species